rnacentral:lncRNA from 1 species
UGUAGCUUCUGUUUCUCGCCGUAGUUGUACGUGGCCUAAAACAUUCGACUGUAUAGCUAUUUUGCCAAUAUUUUCAUUGAAAUAACACACCAAUUGUAAACGUUUUAGAUUAGCCUAUAUUAAACAGUUAGUAAUGGGCGAGCGAAAUGUGAUGAGCUUCGAUGACGAAGACAACGCCUAGGCUACAAACAAGAAAUGAAUGUGUGGAGGACUUCUGACAGUAAAUUGCACUGUUGAUGACAUUACAUACUCUGAAAAAGGCUCUCCCAAUGCAUCAUCAGGGGGCAAGCUACCUGCCCUUCAGGACACCUACAGCACCCAAUGUCACAGGAAGGCCAAAAAGAUCAUCAAGGACAACAUCCACCCAAGCCACUGCCUGUUCACCCCGCUAUCAUCCAGAAGGCGAGGUAUUCCCCCUGAUGAGGAACCUGAGCUUCAGAGAGCACCGGCCGGGCACCACCUCUCAUGGCCCUCCAGCCCUGCUCAAUGCACGCAACGACUCCGAAAAGAGAAAGCAGAGUAUUACUGUACAUUAUAUUUGUUAGGGCAUACAAAAGUGGGAUGAAAUAAAAAAAAUAUAUGUAAUCGAAUUUUAGAUAGUGUAUCGAUUGUACUACAUGCAAUGGAGAACGUGGUUAUGUACUCAAAUCAAGAUGAACAUUUAACAUUUCUAAAGAUGUAUAUAGAGUGUCUUCUGUAAUAGUACUCAACAUUUUUUUAUGUUCUGCACUUUACACUCAAAGUAAAGUGGUUUGGUUACUUACGUAUCCAUUUUUAAAGGUGUGAAGUGUCUUCUGGACAGCCUUGAAUUCCUCCACAUAAUGUCCGGACUCUGUCUAGAUCAAAUAAUAUUAGCGGUGUAAAGUAAGACAGCUUGUAAAAUAUAGCACCCCCAUGUCCAUUUUUUAUGGGCUUUAGUGGAUCCUAUUGUCUGGAGGUAUUUAUGCCGAAAGAUAGACAUUUGCCAGGAGAGGGA